AAAUCCUCUAAGUUAUCUUUUUAUUUUCUUGAUGCUAAGAACUCUCUUCUUCUCUUUGUUAUAAUUUUUGAAAUCCCUAGGGAAGUUUGAUCAAAGGUGGUGGCCAUUGUUUUGGUCCUUGAGUUCUAGCAAGAGAGGGUCAAUGUUGCAAUUACCUUGAUUUGGGAAGAUGCUUGAAUAGUUUCCCUUUCAUUAGUUUUGAUUGAAGGACCUUUGGGGAAAUAAGUAGGUGAGCAAUGAGUAUUGGGAACUCAUUUUGUGGCUGGCGUGCAAGAGGGAAGAGAGAGAGAGCAUGAGACCUAAAGAGAGAAAGAAAGAGAAAAGAAUAGGAGGAUUUCAGAGGUCUUAGGGAAGUUUAAUCAAAUGUGGUGGCCAGUGUUUUGGUCCUUGAGUUAUAGCAAGAGAGGCUCGUUGUGAAGUUUUUCUCAUUUUUCUUUGCUCGGACCUGAGGUAACAAAUAAGGUUUCUCUUUGGCAUGAGUUGUGAUGUGGGGAGUUCCGACAUCUGGGUGUGUAUGGCGUCAGGGUAUCCUAUGAAUGAAUAAACGAACAACAUAAGCGCCGAGUUUCAAGAAACGAUGUUAGGGACUUAAUUUUUUUUAAACCUAUCAGUGGGACAUAAACUUUAAUUAUUUUUAAACAUUGUAUAAGUACAUUUACUUUUGUUUUAAGCUAUUGGGCUCAACUUGCAUGUUUUAUCAAGGCCCCACUAGAUUUCUUAAGUUAAGUUGUAUUCUUCUAUUAUUUAUGAGUACUGAGACGUUUUACAAAAAAAUAAAUUA